rnacentral:rRNA from 1 species
GACGAACGCUGGCGGCGUGCCUAAUACAUGCAAGUCGAGCGGAUCUGAAGAGGUGCUUGCACCUCUGAUGGUUAGCGGCGGACGGGUGAGUAACACGUAGGCAACCUGCCCGCAAGCCCGGGAUAACAUUCGGAAACGAAUGCUAAUACCGGACACGCAGUCUGGUCACAUGGCCGGACUGGGAAAGACGGAGCAAUCUGUCGCUUGCGGAUGGGCCUGCGGCGCAUUAGCUAGUUGGCGGGGUAACGGCCCACCAAGGCGACGAUGCGUAGCCGACCUGAGCGGGUGAACGGCCAAACUGGGACUGAGACACGGCCCAGACUCCUACGGGAGGCAGCAGUAGGGAAUCUUCCACAAUGGGCGAAAGCCUGAUGGAGCAACGCCGCGUGAGUGAGGAAGGCUUUCGGGUCGUAAAGCUCUGUUGCCAGGGAAGAACGCCAAGGAGAGUAACUGCUCUUUGGGUGACGGUACCUGAGAAGAAAGCCCCGGCUAACUACGUGCCAGCCGCCGCGGUAAUAC